rnacentral:rRNA from 1 species
UACGAAGGGGGCUAGCGUUGUUCGGAAUUACUGGGCGUAAAGCGCGUGUAGGCGGGUCUUUAAGUCAGGGGUGAAAUCCUGGAGCUCAACUCCAGAACUGCCUUUGAUACUGAGGAUCUUGAGUCCGGGAGAGGUGAGUGGAACUGCGAGUGUAGAGGUGAAAUUCGUAGAUAUUCGCAAGAACACCAGUGGCGAAGGCGGCUCACUGGCCCGGUACUGACGCUGAGGCACGAAAGCGUGGGGAGCAAACAGGG